CCUACGGGCGGCAGCAGUAGGGAAUAUUGCACAAUGGGGGAAACCCUGAUGCAGCAACGCCGCGUGGAUGAAGAAGGUUUUCGGAUUGUAAACUCCUUUUGUUAGAGAAGAUAGUGACGGAAUCUAACGCUUAAGCACCGGAUAUUUCCGUGCCAGCAGCCGCGGUAAUACGGAGGGCGCAAGCGUUACUCGGAAUCACUGGGCGUAAAGAGCACGUAGGCGGGUUAGCAAGUCAGAUGUGAAAUCCUAUGGCUUAACCAUAGAACUGCAUUUGAAACUGGUAGUCUAGAGUAUGGGAGAGGUAGGUGGAAUUCCUGGUGUAGGGGUGAAAUGCGUAGAGAUCUGGAGGAAUACUCGUGGCGAAGGCGACCCGCUGGAACAUAACUGACGCUGAGGUGCGAAAGCGUGGGGAGCAAACAGGAUUAGAUACCCGAGUAGUC
rnacentral:rRNA from 1 species